GUGAGCUACGGCCCAAGUAUUAUCUUCUUACAUUCCCUCUUGCACACCCUCACACUCUGAGUGGGUGUGGGUGGGAACCUGCCUCCCUUUUCUUUGGCAGGAUGCUCUAUAGCUCAGCAGAAAUGUCGGGAUCUAGAGGAGGGAGUGCUGCCCCUUUUCACAGGCCUGCCUCGGAUUCCUCUCCCUUCGUAGAUCCCUCAGGAUUUGACUCUCUUUUCCGUGCGGGUGCUGCUGGACUUUUUGGAGAUGCAGGGGACAGAACACAAGUGUACAGAGCUGGGUCUGUGCUGACCAAACGCUUCUCAGAGUUUCUUUGCCUGCAGAUCAUUGCUUUGAUCACGACCAUUCACUCUGAGUAAAUAUGUUCUUAGUUUGGAGUUGAUGUCUGUUAACAAUGAUGUGUUAUGCCUCGGCGCCAGCAUGAAGCACUCCUACUACUGCAAUAAGCCAGGUUUCUGAGCUGUUUCACCCAGGAAUGAAUUCAGUUCAGCCCUUUUGGGCUGCAGAAGAACAGAAGGAAUGUCAAAUAGUUAAAAUUUAGCCUGCACAGAAAUGGAGCUUCUGGCCAGGAGUUCUUCAGACAAAGCGAGGAGGAUUCUUUUGAGCUUCCAGAGUCCAGCUCCAGGCUCUUUGCCAUCACUGGCUGAGACCAGAGAUAGACAGCAAGGAACAAACACAUCUUGGAACUGCUGGUACCAGAGCAGUUCCUGACCAUCCUGCCCAGAGCUCCAGGCUUGAGUGCAGGAGCAGCCCAGAGUCUAGGGAGGAGGCUGUUACUGUACUGGAGGUGCUUGGAGAGGAAGCUGGCUAAUCCAGGAGGAAAGCUCAUUUGAGUCAAGAUCUCAAGAAGAAAAAUGCGUUGUGAUUGGUUGAUAUGUCUCUUAGGUUUCUUUUAAUAAAUGGGUCCCCCUUCCUUCUUUUCUCCCCCUUGCAACUCACUUAUUAAAGAAAUCAAGUUGUUUGUCCUAUGUAGUUUCCCACAAUCUGGGUUUUGCUGCUUGCAUCUUGUGCUGUAGUUUAACAUGUUCUGUUGUCCUCUCUGUUUUCUAUAAAUUGUAGCAAAUCUACAGGCUUGACCAAAAUCAAAUUUAAGGUUUUAGAGCAAGACAAGUUUAACUUGGCAAGCUGAUGUUCUG
rnacentral:lncRNA from 1 species